AGUCGGGUCCCACGCAGCGAAGGCCCGUGAACCCCGUCAGGUCCGGAAGGAAGCAGCGGUAAGCGACCGCCCUCGGGUGCCGUGGGGCGACCUGGCUGGA
rnacentral:SRP_RNA from 1 species